AUAAUAAAAAGCUAUAUUACCUUAAUAAAAUCUCUAAAUAUCACCAAAGUAAUUGUUUGAGUCGGACAUACCAAAAUAAAUGCUUACAAAUCCAACAGUUAAUUUUGUCUUAAAUUAUUACUAUCAUUUAAGUUGAUGACACGAAAAUAAAUGAGUAUUUGACUAACAAAUUAUAUUUUUAAGAUAUCCUUAAUAUCUUUGGCAAAUUUCAGUCAAAAUAUUUGAGAAUUGGCUAAUUAUACUGAUCAGUUUCAGGAACAGCAAUUAUUACUCAUUCCAAAUCAAUAUUCUUCAUCUUUAACAACAAUUUAAGAAAUUGAGUAAAUUACACUAAAACGUCAUGAGUGGACCCCAUUAACAAUCGCGCGCAAAUGCAGUGUGCUCAUGGGAAAUCUACUUUUCUAUCUGCGCCACAUGUGGCAACUGCAACAAGCAAGGAAACACCACGACGAGAACCACCAGGAAAACUCCCUGCAAAUCCUGCACCGACUGCGCUAACGGAGAGAAGUUGAACGAAGAUAACAAAACAGAGGAGGUUGCAGCUUAUGGGAUGGCAAUGUAAGCUCUGCACAUGUGUGGCUUCAGCGAAAGGGUCACUUCUCAAGCACUAUCGAUUGAAGCACGGUACCUUUGGAAUCUGGGAGAAGAUGCGAGUGCCUUGAUCAAGGACUUUGAGGAUGCUGCUGAUGCACCUGUCAGUGUACAAGAGGAGUUGGCAGAGGAGGUGAUGAAGAUGUACCUGCUGCAGAACCAAGAUGGGUCAGUCGAUGAACCUACUGAUGUAGGGAUUGUGAUUGAGGGCAUCCCUGUCCUCAGAAGUCUUAGGGAUCUUAGCAGAGCCUGCUGCUAUCUGUUGGGACUAACCUAUGCCUUGGAUCUGAGAUACCCCAAGAAUCUCAAAUAUAGUUUUGAGGUAUUCCAAAAACUACUGUUGGAGCUGGAUCCUGGCAACCUUUCAACCAAGGUUCAGAGACUGAAAAAUUGCCUACAUAUGUAGUUGCCGACUACUGUUCAGCAAGAUGCUAAAAGGUACGAGUUGAGAGUUCCAUUGAUUGAAUUGCAUUUUGGACUGGUAUUGUUGUAAAGUGUCACUGUUCUUGGUGCAUUUCAGUCAUAUGCAGAGUUCAGUUCAGCCCGUUGCUCCCAUAGCUCAAUGGAAAUGUUCACAUGCUCAUUGGCAAAAAUAUACCUGGUUGAAAGUUAAGCUAGAUAAAAUGCCUAAAAGUUUUAUUGCUAAAUAAUCAAAUUUGAGAUUUCCAUUGAUGCUAAGAUGUCUCUGCUGCAAUUGGUCUUGUUGCAUUUUACCCGUGUUUAAAAGGACCGCUUAGUUAUAUGCAGAGCUCAAUUCAGCUCAUCGUUUUUAUAGCUUGGCCAUUGUUACCAGGGCUCUCCCUUCUUAGUCGAUUAGUUGACUUUAUUUGUGGUUUUGGUCGAUGAAGAUUUCUUUAGUCAAUUAGUAAUAUUUUAAUGUAUUUUUUUUCAUGGUGAAUGACUUAUUUGUAAGAAACGUAUAUCUAUGAGUGGCCGUUAGGGACAUUAUUCAGAAAUACCAUUCACAUACACAUGUGAAGCACUCUCAUACACACAACUGAAACCAAAAUCAUUUACAAACAUAUGUAAAAAUCUCUCAUACACAUGUGAAACGCUCUCACACACAUAUGAAACAAUCUCUUAUACACAAAUGAAACGCUAUCAUAUACACAUGAAAUGCGAUUUCAGUAUGUUGUGUGAGAGGGAUUUCAGUUGAAACGGAAGGCAUCUCAGUUGAUAAAGGAAGUCGAUUUCAGAAAAGCAAACACAAUAUUAUGUCCGUUUGCGAUUGUUCCAUCAUGUCUGCUCAGCAGCAUGCACAAAGCUUAACUGAGGCAGCAGCGUUGUUAAAUAAUAUCCUGGCCUCAGCGGGGUGCACAGUCUCUCCUAAGGGGAGCUGUAGUGGGCCAUUGCCUGCCGCGGGACGGGAAGAGGGACGAUGCAUGGUGUUGAGGCCAGGAUAUUAUUUAACAACGCUGCUGCCUCAGCUUUGUGCAUGCUGCUGAGCAGACAUGAUGGAACAAUCGCAAACGGACAUAAUAUUGUGUUCGCUUUUUUUAAAUUUGCGCUUCUUCGCUGUUUUUUUUAAACGACUUCCAUUUCAACUGAAAUCCCUCUCACACAACAUAUCGAAAUCGCAUUUCAUGUGUAUAUGAUAGCGUUUAAUUUGUGUAUAAGAGAUUGUUUGUGUGUGAGAGUGCUUCACAUGUGUAUGUGAAUGCUAUUUCUGAAUAAUGUCCCUAACGGACCCUCAUAGAUAUCUCUGGUAAACACAAGGAUUUAAAGUGGUGUUUUUGUGUGAUUCUUUGUGAAGAAUAUGUUGAUUUAAUCGAUUAGUCAUCAAAUGUGUACGAGUGUUAGUCGACUAAGAAUGUAUUUUGUCAAGAACAGCCCCUAAUUGUUACAAAUGUAAUAUGCAAACUAAACCAGGUUGAGACUUAAUGUGAUGUGUUAUACUGGUCAAAUUUGAACAAUAAAUAUGUAAUUAAAAUGUCAA